rnacentral:rRNA from 1 species
UUAAAAUUUCGAAUGCCAAACCGCGGAAAAAAACCCUUAACCCUUACCCCUUUGAACAAUGGCUUAGGGAACCCUUCGCAAGAGGAUGUGGAGGGUUGCCCCGGAAAAGGGAACCUAGACACAAGGGUGCUGCAUGGCUGUCGUCAGCUCGUGUCGUGAGAUGUUGGGUUAAGUCCCGGCAACGAGCGCAACCCUUGCCAUUAGUUGCCACAUUCAGUUGGGCACUCUAAUGGGACUGCCGGUGACAAACCGGAGGAAGGUGGGGAUGACGUCAAGUCCUCAUGGCCCUUAUGGGUAGGGCUUCACACGUAAUACAAUGGCCGGUACAGAGGGCAGCCAACCCGCGAGGGGGAGCUAAUCCCAGGAAAGCCGGUCGUAGUCCGGAUUGCAGUCUGCAACUCGACUGCAUGAAAGACAAAGGAAUCCGC